AACAGGAUGGGGAGCUUGCUCCCUGAUGUUAGCGGCGGACGGGUGAGUAACACGUGGGUAACCUGCCUGUAAGACUGGGAUAACUCCGGGAAACCGGGGCUAAUACCGGAUGCUUGAUUGAACCGCAUGGUUCAAUUAUAAAAGGUGGCUUUUAGCUACCACUUACAGAUGGACCCGCGGCGCAUUAGCUAGUUGGUGAGGUAACGGCUCACCAAGGCAACGAUGCGUAGCCGACCUGAGAGGGUGAUCGGCCACACUGGGACUGAGACACGGCCCAGACUCCUACGGGAGGCAGCAGUAGGGAAUCUUCCGCAAUGGACGAAAGUCUGACGGAGCAACGCCGCGUGAGUGAUGAAGGUUUUCGGAUCGUAAAACUCUGUUGUUAGGGAAGAACAAGUACCGUUCGAAUAGGGCGGUACCUUGACGGUACCUAACCAGAAAGCCACGGCUAACUACGUGCCAGCAGCCGCGGUAAUACGUAGGUGGCAAGCGUUGUCCGGAAUUAUUGGGCGUAAAGCGCGCGCAGGCGGUUUCUUAAGUCUGAUGUGAAAGCCCCCGGCUCAACCGGGGAGGGUCAUUGGAAACUGGGGAACUUGAGUGCAGAAGAGGAGAGUGGAAUUCCACGUGUAGCGGUGAAAUGCGUAGAGAUGUGGAGGAACACCAGUGGCGAAGGCGACUCUCUGGUCUGUAACUGACGCUGAGGCGCGAAAGCGUGGGGAGCGAACAGGAUUAGAUACCUUAGGUAGGUCCAG
rnacentral:rRNA from 1 species